GGGUUGUGAGGUUAAGCGACUAAGCGUACACGGUGGAUGCCCUGGCAGUCAGAGGCGAUGAAGGACGUGCUAAUCUGCGAUAAGCGUCGGUAAGGUGAUAUGAACCGUUAUAACCGGCGAUUUCCGAAUGGGGAAACCCAGUGUGUUUCGACACACUAUCAUUAACUGAAUCCAUAGGUUAAUGAGGCGAACCGGGGGAACUGAAACAUCUAAGUACCCCGAGGAAAAGAAAUCAACCGAGAUUCCCCCAGUAGCGGCGAGCGAACGGGGAGCAGCCCAGAGCCUGAAUCAGUGUGUGUGUUAGUGGAAGCGUCUGGAAAGGCGCGCGAUACAGGGUGACAGCCCCGUACACAAAAAUGCACAUGCUGUGAGCUCGAUGAGUAGGGCGGGACACGUGGUAUCCUGUCUGAAUAUGGGGGGACCAUCCUCCAAGGCUAAAUACUCCUGACUGACCGAUAGUGAACCAGUACCGUGAGGGAAAGGCGAAAAGAACCCCGGCGAGGGGAGUGAAAAAGAACCUGAAACCGUGUACGUACAAGCAGUGGGAGCACGCUUAGGCGUGUGACUGCGUACCUUUUGUAUAAUGGGUCAGCGACUUAUAUUCUGUAGCAAGGUUAACCGAAUAGGGGAGCCGAAGGGAAACCGAGUCUUAACUGGGCGUUAAGUUGCAGGGUAUAGACCCGAAACCCGGUGAUCUAGCCAUGGGCAGGUUGAAGGUUGGGUAACACUAACUGGAGGACCGAACCGACUAAUGUUGAAAAAUUAGCGGAUGACUUGUGGCUGGGGGUGAAAGGCCAAUCAAACCGGGAGAUAGCUGGUUCUCCCCGAAAGCUAUUUAGGUAGCGCCUCGUGAAUUCAUCUCCGGGGGUAGAGCACUGUUUCGGCAAGGGGGUCAUCCCGACUUACCAACCCGAUGCAAACUGCGAAUACCGGAGAAUGUUAUCACGGGAGACACACGGCGGGUGCUAACGUCCGUCGUGAAGAGGGAAACAACCCAGACCGCCAGCUAAGGUCCCAAAGUCAUGGUUAAGUGGGAAACGAUGUGGGAAGGCCCAGACAGCCAGGAUGUUGGCUUAGAAGCAGCCAUCAUUUAAAGAAAGCGUAAUAGCUCACUGGUCGAGUCGGCCUGCGCGGAAGAUGUAACGGGGCUAAACCAUGCACCGAAGCUGCGGCAGCGACGCUUAUGUGUUGUUGGGUAGGGGAGCGUUCUGUAAGCCUGUGAAGGUGUGCUGUGAGGCAUGCUGGAGGUAUCAGAAGUGCGAAUGCUGACAUAAGUAACGAUAAAGCGGGUGAAAAGCCCGCUCGCCGGAAGACCAAGGGUUCCUGUCCAACGUUAAUCGGGGCAGGGUGAGUCGACCCCUAAGGCGAGGCCGAAAGGCGUAGUCGAUGGGAAACAGGUUAAUAUUCCUGUACUUGGUGUUACUGCGAAGGGGGGACGGAGAAGGCUAUGUUGGCCGGGCGACGGUUGUCCCGGUUUAAGCGUGUAGGCUGGUUUUCCAGGCAAAUCCGGAAAAUCAAGGCUGAGGCGUGAUGACGAGGCACUACGGUGCUGAAGCAACAAAUGCCCUGCUUCCAGGAAAAGCCUCUAAGCAUCAGGUAACAUCAAAUCGUACCCCAAACCGACACAGGUGGUCAGGUAGAGAAUACCAAGGCGCUUGAGAGAACUCGGGUGAAGGAACUAGGCAAAAUGGUGCCGUAACUUCGGGAGAAGGCACGCUGAUAUGUAGGUGAAGUCCCUCGCGGAUGGAGCUGAAAUCAGUCGAAGAUACCAGCUGGCUGCAACUGUUUAUUAAAAACACAGCACUGUGCAAACACGAAAGUGGACGUAUACGGUGUGACGCCUGCCCGGUGCCGGAAGGUUAAUUGAUGGGGUUAGCCGCAAGGCGAAGCUCUUGAUCGAAGCCCCGGUAAACGGCGGCCGUAACUAUANNNNNNNNNNNNNNNNNNNNNNNNNNNNNNNNNNNNNNNNNNNNNNNNNNNNNNNNNNNNNNNGGUAAGUUCCGACCUGCACGAAUGGCGUAAUGAUGGCCAGGCUGUCUCCACCCGAGACUCAGUGAAAUUGAACUCGCUGUGAAGAUGCAGUGUACCCGCGGCAAGACGGAAAGACCCCGUGAACCUUUACUAUAGCUUGACACUGAACAUUGAGCCUUGAUGUGUAGGAUAGGUGGGAGGCUUUGAAGUGUGGACGCCAGUCUGCAUGGAGCCGACCUUGAAAUACCACCCUUUAAUGUUUGAUGUUCUAACGUUGACCCGUAAUCCGGGUUGCGGACAGUGUCUGGUGGGUAGUUUGACUGGGGCGGUCUCCUCCUAAAGAGUAACGGAGGAGCACGAAGGUUGGCUAAUCCUGGUCGGACAUCAGGAGGUUAGUGCAAUGGCAUAAGCCAGCUUGACUGCGAGCGUGACGGCGCGAGCAGGUGCGAAAGCAGGUCAUAGUGAUCCGGUGGUUCUGAAUGGAAGGGCCAUCGCUCAACGGAUAAAAGGUACUCCGGGGAUAACAGGCUGAUACCGCCCAAGAGUUCAUAUCGACGGCGGUGUUUGGCACCUCGAUGUCGGCUCAUCACAUCCUGGGGCUGAAGUAGGUCCCAAGGGUAUGGCUGUUCGCCAUUUAAAGUGGUACGCGAGCUGGGUUUAGAACGUCGUGAGACAGUUCGGUCCCUAUCUGCCGUGGGCGCUGGAGAACUGAGGGGGGCUGCUCCUAGUACGAGAGGACCGGAGUGGACGCAUCACUGGUGUUCGGGUUGUCAUGCCAAUGGCACUGCCCGGUAGCUAAAUGCGGAAGAGAUAAGUGCUGAAAGCAUCUAAGCACGAAACUUGCCCCGAGAUGAGUUCUCCCUGACUCCUUGAGAGUCCUGAAGGAACGUUGAAGACGACGACGUUGAUAGGCCGGGUGUGUAAGCGCAGCGAUGCGUUGAGCUAACCGGUACUAAUGAACCGUGAGGCUUAACCUUACAACGCCGAAGCUGUU
rnacentral:rRNA from 1 species